CCUACGGGUGACAGCAGUCGAGAAUCAUUCACAAUGGGGGAAACCCUGAUGCUGCGACGCCGCGUGGGGGAAUGAAGGUCUUCGGAUUGUAAACCCCUGUCAUGUGGGAGCAAAUUAAAAAGAUAGUACCACAAGAGGAAGAGACGGCUAACUCUGUGCCAGCAGCCGCGGUAAUACAGAGGUCUCAAGCGUUGUUCGGAAUCACUGGGCGUAAAGCGUGCGUAGGCUGUUUCGUAAGUCGUGUGUGAAAGGCGCGGGCUCAACCCGCGGACGGCACAGGAAACUGCCAGACUAGAGUGAUGGAGGGGGAAGCGGAAUUCCCGGUGUAGCAGUGAAAUGCGUAGAUAUCGAGAGGAACACUCGUGGCGAAGGCGGGUUCCUGGACAUUAACUGACGCUGAGGCACGAAGGCCAGGGGAGCGAAAGGGAUUAGAUACCCCUGUAGUC
rnacentral:rRNA from 1 species